rnacentral:lncRNA from 1 species
GAAAUUGUAAACCGGUAAACUUCAAAAUGAGAGACAAAGCAUGAUUCCAAAGGGAAAGAAGAAAAUCAAACAUAAAAUCAUCAUCAGAUUACAAAAAAUUUCAAUUAUAAAGAAACCAAAUCAAAUUAUACCAAACAGCUGCUACAAAUUUCACUGUAAAAUUCUAUUACAAAAGACCCAAACUAAGAAAAUUUAACAAAAAAGAAUCCAAAAAUAAAAAAUCCUAAAACUAAAGAUUUCAAACCCUAAAUCAAAUUAUAGAGGCGACGGAGACGGCGACAGCUUCAAGUGGUGGGGUCAGCGGUUUCGUGCAGCAGUGGAAGUGAUGGCAGAUCACGCAGCGCAUGCCAUUUUUUUUUGGUCGAUUCAAGUUGGUGGCUGAUCACUUCGACAGGUAGCACUAGUGAAAGACAAGAAGAAGGAAAAGGAGAAUAAGAAGAAAAAAGAAGAAGAAGAAGAAGAAGAAGAAAGAAGAAGAAGAAGAAGAAGAACGAAGGAAUAAAGACGGGAAGAAGCAGAGGAAGAGAACAAAAAAAG